AAAUUGAAGAGUUUGAUCAUGGCUCAGAUUGAACGCUGGCGGCAGGCCUAACACAUGCAAGUCGAGCGGUAGCACAGAGAGCUUGCUCUCGGGUGACGAGCGGCGGACGGGUGAGUAAUGUCUGGGAAACUGCCUGAUGGAGGGGGAUAACUACUGGAAACGGUAGCUAAUACCGCAUAAUGUCGCAAGACCAAAGUGGGGGACCUUCGGGCCUCAUGCCAUCAGAUGUGCCCAGAUGGGAUUAGCUAGUAGGUGGGGUAACGGCUCACCUAGGCGACGAUCCCUAGCUGGUCUGAGAGGAUGACCAGCCACACUGGAACUGAGACACGGUCCAGACUCCUACGGGAGGCAGCAGUGGGGAAUAUUGCACAAUGGGCGCAAGCCUGAUGCAGCCAUGCCGCGUGUGUGAAGAAGGCCUUCGGGUUGUAAAGCACUUUCAGCGGGGAGGAAGGCGAUAAGGUUAAUAACCUUGUCGAUUGACGUUACCCGCAGAAGAAGCACCGGCUAACUCCGUGCCAGCAGCCGCGGUAAUACGGAGGGUGCA
rnacentral:rRNA from 1 species